UGUAAAAGUAACUAGAUUUUAUCCCGCGGUAUACAAUUUAUCUUUUUAAAGUUAGUAUAAU
rnacentral:sRNA from 1 species